GCGAGCGCAGGCGGUUUCUUAAGUCUGAUGUGAAAGCCCCCGGCUCAACCGGGGAGGGUCAUUGGAAACUGGGAGACUUGAGUGCAGAAGAGGAGAGUGGAAUUCCAUGUGUAGCGGUGAAAUGCGUAGAUAUAUGGAGGAACACCAGUGGCGAAGGCGGCUCUCUGGUCUGUAACUGACGCUGAGGCUCGAAAGCGUGGGGAGCGAACAGGAUUAGAUACCCUGGUAGUCCACGCCGUAAACGAUGAGUGCUAAGUGUUGGAGGGUUUCCGCCCUUCAGUGCUGCAGCAAACGCAUUAAGCACUCCGCCUGGGGAGUACGACCGCAAGGUUGAAACUCAAAGGAAUUGACGGGGGCCCGCACAAGCGGUGGAGCAUGUGGUUUAAUUCGAAGCAACGCGAAGAACCUUACCAGGUCUUGACAUCCUUUGACCACUCUAGAGAUAGAGCUUCCCCUUCGGGGGCAAAGUGACAGGUGGUGCAUGGUUGUCGUCAGCUCGUGUCGUGAGAUGUUGGGUUAAGUCCCGCAACGAGCGCAACCCUUAUUGUUAGUUGCCAUCAUUUAGUUGGGCACUCUAGCGAGACUGCCGGUGACAAACCGGAGGAAGGUGGGGAUGACGUCAAAUCAUCAUGCCCCUUAUGACCUGGGCUACACACGUGCUACAAUGGGAAGUACAACGAGUUGCGAAGUCGCGAGGCUAAGCUAAUCUCUUAAAGCUUCUCUCAGUUCGGAUUGUAGGCUGCAACUCGCCUACAUGAAGCCGGAAUCGCUAGUAAUCGCGGAUCAGCACGCCGCGGUGAAUACGUUCCCGGGCCUUGUACACACCGCCCGUCACACCACGAGAGUUUGUAACACCCGAAGUCGGUGAGGUAACCUUUUUGGAGCCAGCCGCCUAAGGUGGGAUAGAUGAUUGGGGUGAAGUCGUAACAAGGUAGCCGUAUCGGAAGGUGCGGCUGGAUCACCUCCUUUCUAAGGAA
rnacentral:rRNA from 1 species